AGAGAGAGACAUGCGCGCAUAUCAAUAAGCGGAGGAAAAGAAACUAACAAGGAUUCCCUCAGUAACGGCGAGUGAAGCGGGAAGAGCUCAAAUUUGAAAUCUUCAAGGUUCUACCUUGACGAAUUGUAGUUUAAAGAAGUGUUUUCUGUUGAAGUUUUGGUAAAAGUUCUUUGGAAUAGGACAUCAUAGAGGGUGAGAAUCCCGUAUUUGACCAUUAUUUUCCAGCUUUGUGAUACACUUUCAAAGAGUCGGAUUGUUUGGGAAUGCAGUCCAAAAUGGGUGGUAAAUUUCAUCUAAAGCUAAAUAUUGGCGAGAGACCGAUAGCGAACAAGUACCGUGAGGGAAAGAUGAAAAGAACUUUGAAAAGAGAGUUAAACAGUACGUGAAAUUGUCAAAAGGGAAGCGUUUGACACCAGUGUUGUUUUCUCGAAAAUCAAUUAAAAAUGGCUCGAUUUUGUAUUGCUUGAGACCUUAAAAGCUCACUGUACAUUUUUCGUGUCUUUUUUAAUGCACUUUUCGUUUAACAAGUCAACAUCAGUUUCUUUUGUUGUAAAAGGGUCAUUGGAAGGUGGCUUUCUUUUCGGAGAAAGUGUUUAUAGCCUUUGGCCCUCUGCAAUCGGAGAGACUGAGGUCUGCAGCGUAGACUCUUCGGGGUUAGAUACAUUUGUGCUAAGUUAUAGCUUUUUAUAGACAACUUGUUGACUAUAAUUAGUCUUGUAGCUUACUCGCUUAUGCUAUUUUACCUACGCUUAGGAUGUUGAAGUCAUCGUAUCGCGC
rnacentral:rRNA from 1 species